AGAAACUAUUUCCUGGGCUAAGACUCCAAGUCCAGGGCUCUUGUCCCCAGAGGACCUGUCUCCUAGAGCCAGAAAGGAAUUCUACAGUGAACACAGGGUUAAAGUAAACUCUUGCAGCUGAAAGUCUGGAAUUCUGGCUAACAAUACCUAAAUAUCUUUAGUCAGCACCAAAGUGGAAAUUGUGCACUAAUUGGAGUUCAGUGAUGCAGAUAAUAUGGAAUGGAGUACACGGGCUGACAGAAAAUUCUCUCCAGCAGCUGAGCUACUUUCACUACAUUUCAGCCCUAACAACAGAACCCAAAACAAAAAAAGGGGAUCAGAGAACCAGGAGAUGAUGAGUCAGGAGACAUGGAAUUAAAAAGGACUGGAUCACUCUGUCUCUAAUCAAGAACACUUACCAUCUUUUACAACUAGUAUUCUAAAGAACAAGAGUUUGGGAACAUUUCUGAGCCUUGAGUACUGAAGUCAUUUCCUUAGAAGCGUGAACACAGAAGUAGUGAAGAUGGAGGGGAACUGGGACUAGGCAAAGGGGACCAGUCUCUCGGGUCUGGGCUAUUUGCUGAUCAUGUACAGAAUGUCUGCAAGUAAUCAAACACACCUGAAGACCCUUCGAGAGAUAGGAAAAUAUCAAGAUCCAGAGCACAGCUUCCGGAGCCAUUCUGCCUGGAAUCAGGUCAUCAUUCCACACCUGACCCAGGGCUUCUUGAUUCACCUAGCUUCACAAGAGCCAAGAGGUAAUUAUAAAACUUUACUCUCCAUAUUUUUUCAGCUCUUUCUUUCUGUUUGUUUGCUCUUAUUUCUAUGGAGACCUGUUUUAUCCUACUACACACAUGGACACUCAUGGCUACCUUCAAAAGAAAGCCCAACUACCCCCAUCCUCUGCUAGGCCAGCACCCCACAAACAGUAGACUCACUCUCUGUGCUCAGUUGUAUCAGGGCCUGCCACCCCAGCCUCAGGAUCCCUGUAAGAAAUGGUACCUUCUGUUCCUUAAGGCUACCCCUUCCAUGUGUCUGCACAGUUCCUGGUCUCCACAAAGAGAAUGUGCUCCACAGGAGGAAAUACUGAGCAUGUGUGGUGCUGUGUCCUGAGGCUGGGUUCAUCCCAGGCACACUGAACACCAGGUCAAGACAGUAGACAGUGGCUAGACUCUGAGUCAUCAGUAGAGAGGGAGUUCUCCACUCUACCUGACUAGCUGGGCUUCCAUUGACUCAGGACCAGAGCAAGAUUCAGCACCCGGGUAAUAGGAUUUUACAACAGAUCUAUGGGUCAGCCACGGUGGCUGGUAACUGACAUCAGGUACAGAAAUAACUAGGAGACAUGGAAGGAUUUGCUUAUUUCCA
rnacentral:lncRNA from 1 species